CCUACGGGGCGCAGCAGUGGGGGAUAUUGCACAAUGGGGGAAACCCUGAUGCAGCGACGCCGCGGGGGUGAAGAAGCGCCUCGGCGCGUAAAGCCCUGUCAGCAGGGAAGAAAAUGACGGUACCUGAAGAAGAAGCCCCGGCUAACUACGUGCCAGCAGCCGCGGUAAAACGAAGGGGGCAAGCGUUACCCGGAGUUACUGGGUAUAGAGGGGGCGCAGACGGCGAUGCAAGCCAGGAGUGAAAGCCCGGGGCCCAACCCCGGGACUGCCCUUGGAACUGCGUGGCAAGAGGGCAGGAGGGGCAGGCGGAAUUCCUGGAGUAGCGGUGAAAAGCGUAGAUAUCAGGAGGAACACCG
rnacentral:rRNA from 1 species